rnacentral:rRNA from 1 species
CUCAGGAUGAACGCUGGCGGCGUGCCUAAUACAUGCAAGUCGAACGGAGAUACUGUAGCAAUACGAUAUCUUAGCGGCGAACGGGUGAGUAACGCGUUGGUGACCUGCCCCCGAAGAGGGGGAUAACAGUCCGAAAGGAUUGCUAAUACCCCAUGUGGUCCUGGAUUCUAGAACUCCAUGACUAAAGGUGUAAAUCACUUCGGGAGGGGCCUGCGUCCCAUCAGCUAGUUGGUAAGGUAAUGGCUUACCAAGGCGACGACGGGUAGGGGACCUGAGAGGGUGGCCCCCCACAAUGGAACUGAAACACGGUCCAUACACCUACGGGUGGCAGCAGUAGGGAAUAUUAGUUAAUGUGCGAAAGCGCGAACUAGCAACGCCGCGUGUGCGAUGAAGGUCUUCGGAUCGUAAAGCACUUUUCGAGAAGAUGAGGAAGGACAGUACUCUCGGAAUAAGUCUCGGCUAACUACGUGCCAGCAGCCGCGGUAAAACGUAGGAGGCAAGCGUUAUCCGGAUUUACUGGGCGUAAAGCGCGUGCAGGCGGUUUGGUAAGUUGGAUGUGAAAGCUCCCGGCUCAACUGGGAGAGGUCGUUCAAAACUACCAGACUUGAGGGCGGUAGAGGGAAGUGGAAUUCCGUGUGUAGUGGUGAAAUGCGUAGAUAUACGGAGGAACACCAGUGGCGAAAGCGGCUUCCUGGACCGAUCCUGACGCUCAGACGCGAAAGCUAGGGGAGCAAACGGGAUUAGAGACCCCGGUAGUCCUAGCUGUAAACGAUGUGAACUUGGCGUCGGUGGGUUUAAAUCCAUCGGUGCCGUAGCUAACGCGAUAAGUUCACCGCCUGGGGACUACGGCCGCAAGGUUAAAACUCAAAUGAAUUGACGG